rnacentral:rRNA from 1 species
CAAUAGCGUAUACUAACGUUGUUGCAGUUAAAAAGCUCGUAGUUGGAUUUCUGUUACGAUGAGCCGGCCGGCCCUUCGGGGUUGUAGCUAGGUUUCGUGGUAGCAUCUUGGCGCAAUCGCCGCUGGCAUUCGUUUGUUGGCGUGCGGGACCGCCUCGUUUACUUUGAGGAAAUUAGAGUGUUUCAAGCAGGCAUACGCCUUGAAUACAUUAGCAUGGAAUAAUAAGAUAGGACCUCGGUUCUAUUUUGUUGGUUUCUAGAGCUGAGGUAAUGAUUAAUAGGGAUAGUUGGGGGGCAUUCGUAUUUAACUGUCAGAGGUGAAAUUCUUGGAUUCGUUAAAGACGGACUACUGCGAAAGCAUUUGCCAAGGAUGUUUUCAUUGAUCAAGAACGAAAGUUAGGGGAUCGAAGAUGAUCAGAU